rnacentral:rRNA from 1 species
AUUGAACGCUGGCGGCAUGCUUUACACAUGCAAGUCGAACGGUAACAGGCCGCAAGUUGCUGACGAGUGGCGAACGGGUGCGUAAUGCAUCGGAACGUGCCCAGUCGUUGGGGAUAACUACUCGAAAGAGUAGCUAAUACCGCAUACGAUCUAUGGUUGAAAGCGGCGGACCGGAAGGCCUCGCGCGAUUGUAGCUGCCGAUGUCAGAUUAGGUAGUUGGUGGGGUAAAGGCUCACCAAGCCAACGAUCUGUAGCUGGUCUGAGAGGACAACCAGCCACACUGGGACUGAGACACGGCCCAGACUCCUACGGGAGGCAGCAGUGGGGAAUUUUGGACAAUGGGCGAAAGCCUGAUCCAGCAAUGCCGCGUGAAGGAAGAAGGCCUUCGGGUUGUAAACUGCUUUUGUACGGAAAGAAACGGCUCUGGUUAAUACCCGGGGCUAAUGACGGUACCGAAAGAAUAAGCACCGGCUAACUACGUG